rnacentral:rRNA from 1 species
UACGUAGGGGGCCAGCGUUGUCCGAAGUUACUGGGCAAAGAGCGCGUAGGCGGGUUUUUAAGUGAGGGGUGAAAGGUUCGGGCUCAACCCGGACACUGCCUCUCAUACUGGGAGCCUUGAGUAUGGGAGAGGCGAGUGGAAUUCUUGGUGUAGCGGUGAAAUGCGUAGAUAUCAGGAGGAACACCGGUGGCGAAGGCGGGUCUCUGGGCAGUAACUGACGCUGAGGAGCGAAAGCGUGGGGAGCGAACAGG